rnacentral:lncRNA from 1 species
UCUUUCCAAAUAUUCUCUAGCUUUUUAUAGACUUAGAAGAGGCUUGAGAGUGAGUUUUGAUCGUUGGAAGGGUUGAAAUAGCCGUUAGAAGCAAAAACUAGCUGUUGGAGAAAUGCAAAAAAACUAGCCGUUAGUACAGUCCCAGGCUACGAGACGACUCGAUUUUCAUUUGAAGUCGACUCGAUUUUCGAGUCGAUUUGAUUUUCAUUUUGGGUCAGCUCGGUCUCAGACAUGCAGAAUUCAGCUUUGUCUUGCGAAUGGAGUCGGCUCUCUUUAGAAAGGAGUCGACUCGUCUUGGCCAAACAUGGAAAAAUAUGUUCUUUGAAGUGCUUUGGCUUGCCAACUUAAGGAGAUCUUUUUCAUGGAUGAAUUUUUCAAUUUAAGCACAUGAAAAGACCUACAUUCAUUUUUGAAAUACAUAGUUAAAUUCAUAAUUACUCAAAGUUUGGCGAUCAUCAAAAUCAAUCAUGGGGUCAACAAUCUCUUCUUUUUUUAUGAUGGCAAAAUUUUGAGUAUAUACGUAAAAUUAAGAAUAAUAUGUUUUAACUCAUUUUGCUAAUAUGAAUCAUGAAGUAAUGAGAUAAACACAUAUGAACAUACACUUCAUGAAUGUUUCAAUUUAUCCAAAAAUUUUAGAUUUAAUACAUUUGAUACCAACUUUCAUACAUAUACAUAUACUCAUUUUAAAGUGAUCAUUUUAAGCAAACAUAUGAGCAUAUCAUUCAAAUUAAGAGUCUUUCAAGCUAAUUAGGCAUAUACUCAUCAUCACUUUCUCCCUUUUUGACAACAUCAAAAAGCUCAAGGGAAAGAUCAAGAAAUAUCAUCAAAAUCAAUUUAAAUGUAAGAAUAUAUCAAAUUCAAAAUGCAUCAAAUUCAAAAAAGGUAUCAAAACUUGUCUUUUUUUUUUUAAUUCAAAAUAUUUUCAAAACAUUGUUUCCUUUUCAGAAAUUAGCUUGAAUUCAGAUACCAAAAAGUUUCUCCCCUUUUUGAAUGAAUUUGAUUCUAUAAUUAGAUUUUCAAUCAAGUAAUUGCUUUGAGCUUGUAAAGGGAAUAGAACUUUCCAAAAGAUUUGAGCAGUAAAAUCAAGCAUUGCAUUUACUUCAAUAUUCAUUCUUUCCUUUUCUUAAUAUAAAUCUAUCAUUUAAAUUCAGAAAAGAUAUGUAUCGAAAAUGUAUCGAGCAAAUCACAGAUAGUAUUAAAGCAUAGUGAUCAACGCAUUCAAGCAUUAGAGCAAAAUCUUUGCAAAUCAAUUGAUAAUCAAAUCAUUCAAAUCAUGGAGUGUGAUUAUUUUAAGCAUAGAUAAAUUAUCAAAAUCAAGCUUUUAAACUAAGUAAUUUCAAUAAUCAAGAUGGUAUGAUGUGAGAAUAAGUUUAGCGUUUACCGAACAUCAUCACCCAUCCAUCCAAAGCAUCCAUUUCCAAGAAUUGAUUCUUUUUAUGCCUUUGGAUGCUUGGUGCAUCUGCAAAGUCAUUUUCUAGAUUUUGGUAUCCAAGUUUUCUUGGAUCCAUUUGAGUUAGUGCACAUUGUUUCUUUUGGAAUCCAAAUUUGCUUGACACAAGUAUGACCAUUUCUAUAGAUAUUGCAUUCAGAAAGUUUAUGGCCUACUUUGUUAUAUUUAAAGCAAACUAUAGAAUGAUUUUCAUGAUAAACUCUAGUAAACAUAUUUUUGAUAAAUUUCUAUUUUUGCAAGAUAUUAAAACCAAUUUCUAUUUUGUCAAAAACAACCUUUUGAUCAUUCAAAAUCAUUUAAAGCUUUUGAGAACUUAAUAUGAAUUGGUCAACUAUAGACUUUAAUAUUUCAAUCUUUUUUCUUAAUUUAGUAUUUUCUUUCAAAAGAGAUUUUUUAGAUUUUAAGAGUUUUUCUUUUUUUUUCAACUAAGGAUUUUUCAGAUUUUAUUAAAUUCUCUUUCUUCUUAGCUCAUGCUUUUUUUUUAUUCAAAAGAUCUUCUUUUUCACUUAAUAUUUUAUUCUUUUCUUUAGUUAAAAAUUGAUUUGAUUUCUUUAGCUCUUUGUUUUUCAGUCUUAUUUUUUUGUAUUCAUCCAUUAGCUCAUGAAAGGCUUUAAACAAUUCAUUAAAAGUAAAUUUGGAAGAGUUUUCAAUAUUUACCUCAUUAUUUUGAGCCAUGAGGCAAAGACUUGCUAUACUUUCUUCCUCCUUUCCAUUUUUUUUCUUUGCUUUGUUCCCCCUUAAUUGAUGCUUUUUUUCUCCUUUGUUUCUUCUUUUUUUUCUUCUUUUCAUCCUCAUGAGCCAUGAGGUAUAAGUUUAGAGAAGCCUCCAUAUCUUUCUUAGAGCAUGAUUCUUCUUCUUGAUGUGCUCCCUCAUAAGUUGUUUCCAAUUGAUCUCAAAUUUGUUUUGCUGAAAUAUAUGAAGAAAUUGCAUUAAAUUUAUUUAUAUCUAAUG